rnacentral:rRNA from 1 species
AUACGGAGGAUCCAAGCGUUAUCCGGAAUCAUUGGGUUUAAAGGGUCCGUAGGCGGCCUUAUAAGUCAGCGGUGAAAGUUUUUGGCUUAACCAAAAAAUUGCCGUUGAUACUGUAGGGCUUGAAUUUUUGUGAAGUAACUAGAAUAUGUAGUGUAGCGGUGAAAUGCUUAGAUAUUACAUGGAAUACCGAUUGCGAAGGCAGGUUACUAACAAACGAUUGACGCUGAUGGACGAAAGCGUGGGUAGCGAACAGGAUUAGAUACCCUGGUAGUCCACGCCGUAAACGAUGGAUACUAGUUGUUGGAUUUUCGGAUUCAGUGACUAAGCGAAAGUGAUAAGUAUCCCACCUGGGGAGUACGGUCGCAAGACUGAAACUCAAAUGAAUUGACGGGG